rnacentral:tRNA from 1 species
GGGCAUGUAGCUCAACGGUUAGAGCACGAAGCUUAUACCUUCGGGGUUCCUGGUUCGAAUCCAGGCAUGCCCACCA